GAUGAAGAACGCAGCGAAAUGCGAUAAGUAAUGUGAAUUGCAGAAUUCAGUGAAUCAUCGAAUCUUUGAACGCACAUUGCGCCCUUUGGUAUUCUGGCGGGCAUGCCUGUUCGAGCGUCAUUUCAACCCUCAAGCUCAGCUUGGUGUUGGGACUCGCGGUAACCCGCGUUCCCCAAAUCGAUUGGCGGUCACGUCGAGCUUCCAUAGCGUAGUAAUCAUACACCUCGUUACUGGUAAUCGUCGCGGCCACGCCGUAAAACCCCAACUUCUGAAUGUUGACCUCGGAUCAGGUAGGAAUACCCGCUGAACUUAAGCAUAUCAAUAAGCGGAGGA
rnacentral:misc_RNA from 1 species